CAUGCAGGUCGAACGCUUCUUUCCUCCCGAGUGCUUGCACUCAAUUGGAAAGAGGAGUGGCGGACGGGUGAGUAACACGUGGGUAACCUACCCAUCAGAGGGGGAUAACACUUGGAAACAGGUGCUAAUACCGCAUAACAGUUUAUGCCGCAUGGCAUAAGAGUGAAAGGCGCUUUCGGGUGUCGCUGAUGGAUGGACCCGCGGUGCAUUAGCUAGUUGGUGAGGUAACGGCUCACCAAGGCCACGAUGCAUAGCCGACCUGAGAGGGUGAUCGGCCACACUGGGACUGAGACACGGCCCAGACUCCUACGGGAGGCAGCAGUAGGGAAUCUUCGGCAAUGGACGAAAGUCUGACCGAGCAACGCCGCGUGAGUGAAGAAGGUUUUCGGAUCGUAAAACUCUGUUGUUAGAGAAGAACAAGGACGUUAGUAACUGAACGUCCCCUGACGGUAUCUAACCAGAAAGCCACGGCUAACUACGUGCCAGCAGCCGCGGUAAUACGUAGGUGGCAAGCGUUGUCCGGAUUUAUUGGGCGUAAAGCGAGCGCAGGCGGUUUCUUAAGUCUGAUGUGAAAGCCCCCGGCUCAACCGGGGAGGGUCAUUGGAAACUGGGAGACUUGAGUGCAGAAGAGGAGAGUGGAAUUCCAUGUGUAGCGGUGAAAUGCGUAGAUAUAUGGAGGAACACCAGUGGCGAAGGCGGCUCUCUGGUCUGUAACUGACGCUGAGGCUCGAAAGCGUGGGGAGCAAACAGGAUUAGAUACCCUGGUAGUCCACGCCGUAAACGAUGAGUGCUAAGUGUUGGAGGGUUUCCGCCCUUCAGUGCUGCAGCAAACGCAUUAAGCACUCCGCCUGGGGAGUACGACCGCAAGGUUGAAACUCAAAGGAAUUGACGGGGGCCCGCACAAGCGGUGGAGCAUGUGGGUUUAAUUCGAAGCAACGCGAAGAACCUUACCAGGUCUUGACAUCCUUUGACCACUCUAGAGAUAGAGCUUUCCCUUCGGGGACAAAGUGACAGGUGGUGCAUGGUUGUCGUCAGCUCGUGUCGUGAGAUGUUGGGUUAAGUCCCGCAACGAGCGCAACCCUUAUUGUUAGUUGCCAUCAUUUAGUUGGGCACUCUAGCGAGACUGCCGGUGACAAACCGGAGGAAGGUGGGGAUGACGUCAAAUCAUCAUGCCCCUUAUGACCUGGGCUACACACGUGCUACAAUGGGAAGUACAACGAGUCGCUAGACCGCGAGGUCAUGCAAAUCUCUUAAAGCUUCUCUCAGUUCGGAUUGCAGGCUGCAACUCGCCUGCAUGAAGCCGGAAUCGCUAGUAAUCGCGGAUCAGCAUCGCCGCGGUGAAUACGUUCCCGGGCCUUGUACACACCGCCCGUCACACCACGAGAGUUUGUAACACCCGAAGUCGGUGAGGUAACCUUUUGGAGCCAGCCGCCUAAG
rnacentral:rRNA from 1 species